UGCUUAACUCACUGAGCCACCCAGGUGCCCCACCUCCCUCAUUCUCUUAUAGGGAAAGUUGCAAUCACAUUAGGACCACUAGGAAUCCAAGAUUAGCUCCUGCUCUCGUGAUCCUUAACUGCAUCUACAAAGUCCCUUUCACCACAUAAGGUGUUUGUUUUCUCCAUUAUCAUUUAUAUACUACAUCAUGGACCAAUGAUACUGGCACAUUCUUUUCCUGUUACAUAAAUUACUGGGCAGUAAAAAUAUUCACACAGCUCUCUUGAGAGACAAAUCUGAAUCAUAAAAUCAAGUUUUCUCCAAGAUUCUACCUCAAGUGCAAUAUGAAUUUGUGAAAAAUGCACCCCACUAGAAGUCAGGCUGGGGAUUUUCAUUUGGGAAAAAAGGGGAGAGAGAACACUGAACAGCAGGAUCGAAAUCAUAAUCCCUGUUUUUAAUGGAAAUGUGAACUCAAGAUUUUACCUUUGCUUGCCCCAGCUUGAAGUCGUGCCCCGGGGAAAGUCUGCCCUCCUUCCAACCAGCUGGCACAGUGAGCUUUGUUUCAAGCAGCUCAACUCAAACAUGUUCCCCUUUUUAGGUUCUCCCUAAUAAAGCAUUAUGUAAAAGAUGCUGAUACUGGAAUGAAGCAUGUAUGUUUCCUAGUGAAUGGUUAAAUACUGCCUAACCAGAACUGGAAGAAGGAAAAGAAAUAACAUGUCUCCCUUCUGCAUCUUGGGAUUCUUGUUUACAGCGGGUGGAACUCCAGCGAGUCUCUACUAAGGAGCAAAACUAGGUGCAUUCUUUGGUUUCUUUGCUGUUCUCCAA